AACAAAUCCAAAUCAAUAUUUAAAUUCUAAAUUAUGCGCAAGACCGCGCAAAUAAUCCAUCGGCGGACGAACGUUACAAUCAUUAACAAUAUUUCAUAUACGUCAAUGGUGACGCUUGGAAGCAGCUUUCGCUAUUUUCGGUGGAUUACCACGAACAUAGUAUUCCAAUCGCACAUCAACAAUCAUUAAACUUCCACAUAUUCAUAUGAGCAAGCUGCCGAACAUUCAAACUUCAAUGCCAGUUCUCGAUUGGAUUAUUUGUACGACGGCCACCGUCAACGAUCGUUUGAUAAUGAUUACACAGCCCGAGACCAAAGGUCUGACCACGACGAGUGACACUACCAAUCCAUGUGGUCUCGAAAUAAUCGAGCAGCUCCUCAGCAUUAUCCUUGAAGAACGUAGUUUUGGUUAACUUAUUAUACACGGCAACAACAUCAUUCUCGGGAACAAAUGCGAGAGCAUACAACAUUCUCAACUGCAAUCCAAAGCCACCAUAUCCGGCAUAUCGAGCUUGUAAUCGACAUCCCUGUAUUCUCCUCCAUGAACUCUGCCAAAAAUGAAAAAAAAAACUCCCACGCAUUUGUACACCAACAAAAAUAACCUAGUUGCUUCGAUUUGCCAGACAACAAUGUAAAUACGAGAGGCAUAACUUCUCCAUUUACAAUUCCAUGUGUGCUAUACAGCUGGUAGAAAAUCCAAGAAACGACAUGAAAUGUUCCGUCGGCAAACUAAGUAUCUUAUGGUUGAAGAUAACUCAAAUUACGCUCAGUUGUAAAAAUAAUAUAUCUUCCACGGUGAUUAUUAGGCAGCUCACGUGAAUCACAUACCAUAAAUUCAACUCCGCUUCAAGCCUUACGAUACGCAUCGGGAAUUAUUAAUUCAUUAAUUGAUACACGACUAGCAGAGUUUAUCUCAUUAUCAGCCCUUAUACCAAGUACGCCGGCAGCAGAUCAUAAAAAAUUUAUCAAUUUAGUAGAAAAAUAAUAUUAUAUUUAUUACAUUAUCUAUAAUGAAACAAAUACUUACCGUUCCGGGACUUAGACGUAGUAUAACACCGACCAAGACACAUUUUCUUGGUAUAAUAAAUACACCGCCAAAUAAUUUUAUUAUCACCAUCGCGAUAAUAACUAUAUUAAUUAUAAAAAGGAGAGGAAUUUUAUUACUAAACAACGUGGCAACAGUUACAAUCACAAUACAUCAGCAAUGCCUCGAAAUUCAAAUUACUCAUUAAAUGCAAACUAACAGGUGAAAAUGAUAGAAGCGACCUUCACGAAAAUAAAAGGAAUAUAGGGAAACAAUAAAGCAUAAAGUAGAGAACAUAUAAAUAGAAAAUAUAUAGACACAAAUAAACCAUAAUAACGAUAGUAUAUCAAACGAUUUAGCUAUAAUAACGAAACUUUAGCGAUCUUCUUAUGUAUCGAUGUUAUAUGGCGCCAAUUCAAUUAAAUAUUUGAAGACUCAUGGUACGAUUUGAAAAGAAGGGUAAAAUUUUCAGUCUCAGCGACCAUUCCGACAAAGGCCAAACCAGCUUUAAGUGGCCAAGUGGAUGUAAGCAGCGUACGUUGUUUUAAUUGCUUUCAACAUGGCCACCAUCAAAGUGCAUGUACGGCUCCCAGACUACCACCGAACAUGAAGCAUGUGCUCCGAAAUCGGGCACACGCGCCAAAACUGUCCCCGUCGUGCUACACCAGGAAACAACCGGAAUAUUGCCGCUGUAGGAGAUGAUGCAUAUCCUAAAGUCUGUCAACUCGCAGAACAAUUUUCUCCAAAUAAAUGAAUGUUACCUUUCUUAAUAAAGAAAAGUGCACUGAUGUAAUUCCUCUUUUCGCUUUAUUUGAUACUGGUAGUCCCAUUAGUUUCAUAAAACGGUCUUACGUGCCACAAUCAGCAAAACUCAGCAGUAAACAGAAGUUGACACAAUAUCGUCGAAUCGCACGAAUUGAUCCACACUUUUGCUAUUUUGCCAGAUUCAGGUGCGAUUUUACCAGUGUUGGUUGGGCGUGACCUUUUAAACAAAAUGCAAAUAGCAUUGAGCCAAACAAAGACAAAUUUAUUUAAGCCAAAUGAAUUAUUUAAUAUAAAAGCUCAAAAAAAAUGUUGGGUUUCGGAAAAACUUGGCAGUGCACUUCGCUUUCUUGAUUUAUAUAGAAGCCCAGUUGCCAGUCUGCUACCACCGUACAACGAGAAGUAGGAAGUUCAAAGAACAAUCGAUGAGUUAUUGGCUUAAAGAACCAUAAGACAAAGUGAGUCUCCCUACGCUUUGCCUAUAGUGUUAGUUCGAAAGAAAGAUGGUUCUUUAAGAAUGUGCGGAAACUAUCAUGCGCUUAAAAAAUUGAUCAUACGUGAUCAUUAUCCUUUAUGUUUGUUGGGGGUAUCUGGGUAGCAAAACUUAUUUCAGUACUUUUUAACUGCUUUUGUCACACCAAUAGAUCAAUACGAGUACAUCUAUAUGCCAUUCGGCAUUACAAAUGCCCCUUCCGUUUUUCAACAUUUAAUUAAUAAAGUUUUAAAGUCA